UACGGAGGAUCCAAGCGUUAUCCGGAAUCAUUGGGUUUAAAGGGUCCGUAGGCGGUUUUAUAAGUCAGUGGUGAAAUCCGGCAGCUCAACUGUCGCACUGCCAUUGAUACUGUAGAACUUGAAUUAUUGUGAAGUAACUAGAAUAUGUAGUGUAGCGGUGAAAUGCUUAGAUAUUACAUGGAAUACCCAUUGCGAAGGCAGGUUACUAACAAUAUAUUGACGCUGAUGGACGAAAGCGUGGGGAGCGAACAGG
rnacentral:rRNA from 1 species